CCUACGGGAGGCAGCAGUGGGGAAUCUUCCGCAAUGGGCGUAAGACUGAACCAGCAACGCAGCGUGCACGAAUACAGGCCUACGGGUUGUAAAGUUCUGUUGAGCGGGACGAAUAAGCCAUGCGAGUGGUUUGGUGUAUGUCCGUCCUUGUUUAGAAAGCUCUGGUUACCUACGUGCCAGCAGCCGCGGUAAUACGUAGGGGGCGAGAGUUGUCCGGAUUUAGUGGGCGUAAAGGGUGCGUAGGUGGGUGCUUAAGCCAGGUGUGAAAUGUCGGGGCUCAACCUGGGGACUGGCCUUGAAACUGGGUAUCUUGAGGGCACGGAAGGAAAGUGGAAUUCGUGGUGUAGCGGUGAAAUGCGUAGAUAUUAGGAGGAACACCAGUGGCGAAGGCGACUUUCGGGAGUGUAACUGACGCUGAGGCGCGAAGGCGUGGGUAGCGAACGGGAUUAGAUACCCUAGUAGUC
rnacentral:rRNA from 1 species